rnacentral:rRNA from 1 species
GUGCCAGCAGCCGCGGUAAUACAGAGGGGGCAAGCGUUAUUCGGAAUUAUUGGGCGUAAAGGGCGCGUAGGCGGCUUCGCAAGUGGAUGGUGAAAUCCCUCGGCUCAACCGAGGAACUGCCGUCCAAACUGCGUGGCUUGAGUCCGGGAGAGGUGAGUGGAAUUCCCAGUGUAGCGGUGAAAUGCGUAGAUAUUGGGAGGAACACCAGUGGCGAAGGCGGCUCACUGGACCGGAACUGACGCUGAGGCGCGAAAGCGUGGGGAGCAAACGGGAUUAGAAACCCCGGUAGUCC